GAACAGAUUGUCUCUAUUUUAAAUUCCUUUGUAGCUUGUCGUCAGUGACCAUGGGAUGACUGAAAAUGGGAAUCAUGGAGGAUCCUCCUAUGAAGAAACUGACUCCUUGGCUCUUUUUAUUGGUCUGAAAUCAAAGAUCUUAACUUAUACAUCAGCGACUCAAAAUGCAGCUUCUCAGGUUGAUAUGGCUUCAACAUUAGCUCUUCUUUUUGGUGUUCCAAUUCCAAAAAACAAUGUUGGUGUCCUAAUGCCUGAAGUUUUUGGUUCUUUGACAGAUGAUCAAUGGCUAAGAGCGUUGGAGUUGAAUUCCUGGCAACUACUAAGAUUACUACAGGCACAAUUAUCUGGUUUAUCCCAACAAAGUUUUCCAUGUAAUGACUCCAGUUAUGAGCAGUCAUCUGAAUUCACCAAGUGCGUUGGGCAAGUGGAGCAGAAGUUUUGCCAUUUCUUUUCAAAAGCUACAGUUCUCCAUAGUUCCUGGAAAUCUAAGAAAGGCCAAACUAUUAGGUCAAUUAAUGGGGAUGACUUCAGGAAUGCUGUUAAAGCAUAUGAUGAAUUCUUAAGAAUUGCAAGUGAGUGGUUAUCGCGCAGAGCCACUGAUAAGCCUCUUAAUUUACUUACAUCUGGAGUUGCAGCAAUGUUUGGAUCAUCUAUGAUAAUGUUGAGGCUUCUAUUCUUGUUGUGCAAACAGGUGUUCUUUGCAGAGAAGCAAUAUCUUCCUAAUGUAAACAAAUAUACCUACAACUGGGAUUUAGAUGAACUUUUUGUUUUAGGUGCAAUCUUGAUCGUUGUUCUCGGUAUGGGCUCAAGUUCUAUGGUAGAAGAAGAGCAAUAUAUAUGGCAUUUUAUGACAUCCACAUUGUAUUUGAUAUUUCUCCGUAGAACAAUCCAAUCUGUUCCGGCAGGACCAGCUCCAUUUAUACUUAAUGUGUUCAAUGGAAAAAACUGCAGCAACUAUUCUCGGGCGUCAUCUGUCAUUUUGGUGCUCAUUUGUGGAAGGAUUUUGAGAGGCUGGCAUCAAGGUGGCGUGAACUGGACUCAUCUCCCUGACAUUUCAAAAUGGCUUGAGCAGGCUGGCUCUCACAGCAUAAAAUCCAUCCAGAUAGCGUCAAUACUAGCUAUUAUCAGCUUGUGGUCAUUUCUUCUAUAUUCAUUAAGAUCAAAGAGAGGUUUUAUUCUUGUAGUCCAAGCCAUGUUUCUUAUAUCUGGAUUGUUGGUAUUGUUGCACACCAUGGAAUAUCAGGAUCAUAUGUUUGCUGCAUCUGGCUACAAUAACACUUCAAUAGCUCAGAUAGUAUAUGCAAGCCUUGGUGUGACAGUGAUAGUGACUGCUGUAGCCUCACCAUGGGUUAUGUAUUACUCAAUCUCUAAGACCCGAUCAAAUGGAAAACCUUGUCUGAUGAAUUACUUUUCCAUUGCUAAUGGAAUCGGGUCUCCUUUGAUCGAAUUAAUAUAUUCUUCAUACUUGACUGGAUUGGCAUACACAGCAUCUUGGUGCCUUCUGCAGCUGCUACUACAACAGCCAAUAAAUGCUUUGCCUAUAUUAUUAAUUUUCUUGCAAACCCUGUCCAGCUUGGUUUAUUUUUCAACUGGUGGUAUACAGCACAAGUUGUGGGUUGAGGUUGCUGCAUUAUACUUUUUGGGUAUGGCAGGCCAUUUUGGUCUUGGAAACAGCAAUACUCUAGCUACUAUUGAUGUUGCUGGAGCUUUCAUUGGCCUUUCCAGUCAUUCUACUUUAUUUGCUGGCAUCUUAAUGUUCAUGAUUACUUUUGCAUCUCCACUGUUACUUCUCCUAAGCAUGGUGAUGCAUACCUCCAUGAAGGACAUGAGGAAUCUAUCAGUCUCACAGGAUGCAGAUAUGGGACAUUUGCUCCUUAGUACCAUUGCGUUCCCUUCGCUUGUUCCCCUGAGUUUGAAUUCAAUUCUGUUAACCACGUUCACUGUCGUUUUGCUGCUGAUGAGGAAUCACUUAUUUGUUUGGAGCGUAUUUUCACCCAAGUACUUGUAUGUUUGUGCUACCACUGCAAGUGUCUAUGCUGGGGUGACAGCAGUAGCUGCAACUGGGAUUUAUAAAUGUCUGGUGUUUGCGUUAUUGAUGAGAAAUAGCAAUGGCAGCAUUAGGAACCCAAGGUGACAAGAAACUGAGCAUCCAUUGUUGCAUUGGUGUACAAGUUACUAGUAUUCUGUUUUACACAAAUCUAUUCUUCAUUCUUUAUGACCAUGUAUUUUGUCUGCUAUGAUGCCAAGCAACUGUAAUCGCAUUGAAGAG